AUGCUUGCAUACGGAAUGCCCGGUGAUCUCAUUGAUGAGUACGUCUGUGUGAGCGAGUCUACAUACCUAGACUCCAUGUACAAGUUCUGCAAGGCUGUGAUUGCUGUGUACAGCCCUGAGUACUUGAGAGAGCCGACUCUUCAAGAUAUAGCCCGCUUGUUGACGAUGAAUGCUAGCAGAUGCUUCCCAGGGAUGCUUGCCAGCAUAGACUGCAUGCACUGGGAGUGGAAGAACUGCCCUUCUGUUUGGCAAGGGCAGUAUAAGGGCCAUGCCAAGGCUUGCACUGUCAUACUUGAUGCCGUGGCCUCACAAGAUCUUUGGAUCUGGCACUCUUUCUUUGGCAUGUCUGGAUCGCACAAUGAUAUCAACAUGCUUCAACGGUCCCCGCUGUUUGCAAGGCUUGCCGAAGGCAACAGCCCGUCGGUGAAUGUUACCAUCAAUGACCACAACUAUGACAAAGGAUACGACCUAGGUGACGGUAUCUAUCGUCAGUGUACCACUAUCAUGAAGACAAUACCCAAUCCUGUCGGAGAGAAGAGGAAAAGAUUUUCUCAAGAGCAAGAGAGUGCUAGAGGAUGUCGAGCGUGCCUUUGGUGUUUUGCAAUCUCGAUGGGGCAUCGUUCGGUAUCCUGCUAG
rnacentral:rRNA from 1 species